rnacentral:rRNA from 1 species
UACGUAGGGUGCAAGCGUUGUCCGGAAUUAUUGGGCGUAAAGAGCUCGUAGGCGGUUUGUCGCGUCUGCUGUGAAAACUCGAGGCUCAACCUCGGGCUUGCAGUGGGUACGGGCAGACUAGAGUGCGGUAGGGGUGACUGGAAUUCCUGGUGUAGCGGUGGAAUGCGCAGAUAUCAGGAGGAACACCGGUGGCGAAGGCGCCACUCUGGGCCGAAACUGACGCUGAGGAGCGAAAGCGUGGGUAGCAAACAGG